UUUCUUCUGUUGAUUUUGCAGCGCUGACGAGCUCUUAUUCUCGUGUGCGCGUGUGUGUUUGAGUGCGCCUGGUCCGUACUGUAUCGGCUUGCUGAGACGGUAGCGCCUCAAUUUCCGAUCAGUUCAAGUUUUUCAUUUGCGCCGAACGCAACGUGAACGCAAGAAAAUUCACCGGCCAGCGAAGCGUGCUGCUGCAACCAGCAAACCGACGAGCGUGCAUUAAUCAGACAAAAAGAAAAAUAAUCAUUUCAUAUGCGAAAAAGUCAAGUAAAUUUGUGUCGAGUUGGAAAAGUGUAAAUGUCAGGCAGCAUUUAAUGAAAAAAGAAGAGGUGAGCAAAUCGUUUGCCAGGGUGCGUUAAAAUACACAUAACAGUACAUGCAAGCAUACAUAUUUACAGCAGCAAUACAAGCAAUAUCUGCUUAAGAAGUGUGUGAAAUAUUGAAACAUAAAAUCGAUUUCGAUUACUAUUACCAUUUUCGAUAAAAAAAAAUUAAAAAAAUACCACGAAAAAAAGUUAGUCAAAAAUACUAAAAAUAUAAAAUUAAAA